UUAAGCGAAUAAGCGUACACGGUGGAUGCCUAGGCAAUCAGAGGCGAUGAAGGACGUGCUAAUCUGCGAAAAGCGUCGGUAAGGUGAUAUGAACCGUUAUACCCGACGAUAUCCGAAUGGGGAAACCCAGUAUCCAAUGGAUACUAUCAUUAACUGAAUCCAUAGGUUAAUGAGGCGAACCGGGAGAACUGAAACAUCUCAGUACCCCGAGGAAAAGAAAUCAACCGAGAUUCCCCUAGUAGCGGCGAGCGAACGGGGAGCAGCCCAGAGUCUUAAUCAAUAGCAGUGUCAGGAGAACGGUCUGGAAAGUCCGGCAGUAAAGGGUGAUAGCCCCGUAUCUGAAGAUGCUGUUAUUGUGAACUCGACGAGUAGGGCGGGACACGUGUUAUCCUGUCUGAAUAUGGGGGACCAUCCUCCAAGGCUAAAUACUCCUGAUUGACCGAUAGUGAACCAGUACCGUGAGGGAAAGGCGAAAAGAACCCCGGCGAGGGGAGUGAAAAAGAACCUGAAACCGUGUACGUACAAGCAGUAGGAGCCUCUUUAUGGGGUGACUGCGUACCUUUUGUAUAAUGGGUCAGCGACUUAUAUUCUGUAGCAAGGUUAACCGUAUAGGGGAGCCGUAGGGAAACCGAGUCUUAACUGGGCGAAUGAGUUGCAGGGUAUAGACCCGAAACCCGGUGAUCUAUCCAUGGGCAGGUUGAAGGUUGGGUAACACUAACUGGAGGACCGAACCGACUAAUGUUGAAAAAUUAGCGGAUGACUUGUGGAUGGGGGUGAAAGGCCAAUCAAACCGGGAGAUAGCUGGUUCUCCCCGAAAGCUAUUUAGGUAGCGCCUCGUGAACUCAUCUUCGGGGGUAGAGCACUGUUUCGACUAGGGGGUCAUCCCGACUUACCAACUCGAUGCAAACUGCGAAUACCGAAGAAUGUUAUCACGGGAGACACACGGCGGGUGCUAACGUCCGUCGUGAAGAGGGAAACAACCCAGACCGCCAGCUAAGGUCCCAAAGUCAUGGUUAAGUGGGAAACGAAGUGGGAAGGCUCAGACAGCCAGGAUGUUGGCUUAGAAGCAGCCAUCAUUUAAAGAAAGCGUAAUAGCUCACUGGUCGAGUCGGCCCGCGCGGAAGAUGUAACGGGGCUAAACCAUGCACCGAAGCUGCGGCAGCGACACAAAGUGUUGUUGGGUAGGGGAGCGUUCUGUAAGCCUGCGAAGGUGUACUGUGAGGUAUGCUGGAGGUAUCAGAAGUGCGAAUGCUGACAUAAGUAACGAUAAUGCGGGUGAAAAACCCGCACGCCGGAAGACCAAGGGUUCCUGUCCAACGUUAAUCGGGGCAGGGUGAGUCGACCCCUAAGGCGAGGCUGAAAAGCGUAGUCGAUGGGAAACGGGUUAAUAUUCCCGUACUGGUGGUAACUGCGAUGGGGGAACGGAGAAGGCUAGGUUGUCCGGGCGACGGUCGUCCCGGUUCAAGCAGGUAGGCAGAGUGAUUAGGCAAAUCCGGUCACUUAAUGCUGAGAUGUGAUGACGAACCACCAAGGUGGUGAAGCAAUUGAUGCCCCGCUUCCAGGAAAAGCCUCUAAGCUUCAGGUUACCAACAAUCGUACCCCAAACCGACACAGGUGGUCAGGUAGAGAAUACUCAGGCGCUUGAGAGAACUCGGGUGAAGGAACUAGGCAAAAUGGUGCCGUAACUUCGGGAGAAGGCACGCUGGCGGUAGGUAAAGUCCCUCGCGGACGGCGCUGAAGCCAGUCGAAGAUACCAGCUGGCUGCAACUGUUUAUUAAAAACACAGCACUGUGCAAACACGAAAGUGGACGUAUACGGUGUGACGCCUGCCCGGUGCUGGAAGGUUAAUUGAUGGGGUCAGCCGUAAGGCGAAGCUCCUGAUCGAAGCCCCAGUAAACGGCGGCCGUAACUAUAACGGUCCUAAGGUAGCGAAAUUCCUUGUCGGGUAAGUUCCGACCUGCACGAAUGGCGUAAUGAUGGCCAGGCUGUCUCCACCCGAGACUCAGUGAAAUUGAACUCGCUGUGAAGAUGCAGUGUACCCGCGGCAAGACGGAAAGACCCCGUGAACCUUUACUAUAGCUUGACACUGAACAUUGAGCCUUGAUGUGUAGGAUAGGUGGGAGGCUUUGAAGUGUGGACGCCAGUCUGCAUGGAGCCAACCUUGAAAUACCACCCUUUAACGUUUGAUGUUCUAACCUAGGCCCAUAAACUGGGUCGGGGACCGUGUCUGGUGGGUAGUUUGACUGGGGCGGUCUCCUCCUAAAGAGUAACGGAGGAGCACGAAGGUUGGCUAAGCAUGGUCGGACAUCAUGCGGUUAGUGCAAAGGCAUAAGCCAGCUUGACUGCGAGAGUGACGGCUCGAGCAGGUACGAAAGUAGGUCUUAGUGAUCCGGUGGUUCUGAAUGGAAGGGCCAUCGCUCAACGGAUAAAAGGUACUCCGGGGAUAACAGGCUGAUACCGCCCAAGAGUUCAUAUCGACGGCGGUGUUUGGCACCUCGAUGUCGGCUCAUCACAUCCUGGGGCUGAAGUAGGUCCCAAGGGUAUGGCUGUUCGCCAUUUAAAGUGGUACGCGAGCUGGGUUUAGAACGUCGUGAGACAGUUCGGUCCCUAUCUGCCGUGGGCGUUGGAAGAUUGAGAGGGGUUGCUCCUAGUACGAGAGGACCGGAGUGAACGCACCACUGGUGUUCGGGUUGUCAUGCCAAUGGCAUUGCCCGGUAGCUAAGUGCGGAAGAGAUAACCGCUGAAAGCAUCUAAGCGGGAAACUUGCCUCGAGAUGAGUCUUCCCUGUCGCUUUAAGCGACCUAAAGGAACGUUUAAGACUAAGACGUUGAUAGGCUGGGUGUGUAAGCGUAGCGAUACGUUGAGCUAACCAGUACUAAUGAACCGUGAGGCUUAACCUG
rnacentral:rRNA from 1 species